ACAAAUAAAAAAUAAAUGUUUGUAUUUAAAUAUAGAAAUAUAUGUAGAUUCAUUUAUCUAUAUAAUUGGCGAUCCUGCUCAUCGAAUUUCGUUCAAGCUAACAAAUAAUUUUACCGAAUUCUACGGUUAUCUUGAACGUGAAACAACAGUUGCGGUAACAUUGACGCAUCGAGGCAAUACAAUAACAAAUAUUAGAUUUCAAUUUAAUUUGGCAAUUCUCCAGAGCAAAUAUAAACAUUUAAAUAUAGCGAUUUAUUGAAAGAAAAAUAAAUUUUAAACAUUGUAAAAAUCCGUGUAUAGAAUUCAAAAUCAUUUAUGUAUACGGGAUUAAAUUUUUUAAAGGAAAAAGACACGCAUUUAAAAGUUGAAAAUCGAUAAAAUAUUUAAUCCAAGAUAUCAUCAAUUGUCUGCACUGAUUUCUCUUUAUCAAUUCUAUGAGAGUGAAGUCAAUUCAAUUUCAAGUGAUUGAGAACAGCAUGGAGGGUCUGUGGAAAGAGUCUGUGAGGAAAGUAAAAUUUCCAGUUAACAAAAAAACCGAAUUCCAGUAAGAGAUUCCUUUGGCUGUUGCGUUGAUUAAUACGAAAUAAUUCUAUAAAAUGCCGUUGUUUGAGAGAUCGAGUGUAGAUAAUGCAGGACAAUAACAUACAUUUAUAUGUCUAUAUGUUUCAAAAAAAAAAUAAUAAUAUGCUUGUCUAAUUUUUGGGAGCAAAGCUGAGGUGAUAACAAUUUUAUUUCAAAAAAACCACAAAAUUACUAUGGUCUCCUGAAAGCUGCAAAACGUAUUAAGGUUUUAAUCAAAAUUGAAUAUAAAUUAUAUUAAUAUAAUUGUAGUUUUGUGUCUCGAUGUUUUUCCAAUAAAUGGAAGGAGCUAUAGUUUAAACUAAGCCUCCUCUGAA